rnacentral:lncRNA from 1 species
GGAUGGUAAGGAAGCUACGUGUGUGUGUUGGGGGGGGGGGGGUUCAGGGCCUCCUGGGGAUUUUUUUUCUCGCAAAACCAUUUAGUCCCGGUUGAGCGACGGACUAAAGACCCCCUUUCAUCUCGAUUACUUUAUCCCAGAUGGAUUUUCGGGAGAUUGCCCCCUGCCAACUGGGACUAAAGGCAAGUUUUGUACCAGUGUGUAGUGAGAAUAAAGACCUCACCCUGCUUGUUCAUUUUUGCCUUAAUUUCAGAAUAAAGACCUCACCCUGCUUGUUCAUUUUUGCCUUAAUUUCCAAAAUGGAUCCAUGCUACAGUACCCUAGAUUAUGCAAAACUUAUGAAGUCUAAGCCAGUACAAACCUCCAAUGGGGCCAUUAUUUUAUGUGCUGUCUACUGAAACAUGGCCCAAAUAUAAAAAACCCCUAGUUUUGUAUCCUAUAUAAAGGGAUAUACACUGUGAUACGUCUCUCUCUCUCUCUCUCUGUGUACGUGUGUGUGUUCUAAUUAAAAAGUGCAGUGUGCACAUUUUGUAGCCGUUUGAUAGAACAUAAACUUGAGGGAAAUAAAACACUGCCCUACCUUCAGUUACCAGGUACUCUCUCUCACCCUCCCUCCCUUUCUACCUAGUACUCUCUUAUUCGUUCUAGUUUGUACUCUCUCUCUCCCAUCUCUCUCUACAGGGUCAUAUCUAGAAAAAAUGUUGUGUGCACAUUUUGUAACCGGUUAGCAGUACACUAUUAGAAUAGUUGGUCUUCCAUGUACACGGUAUAACAUGUCAUAUGAUUAUGUUUGUUAAUGUUAUGUGCUUGCUUGCGUAAUGGACUAGGAACUCAGUUAGGAUAUCAACAAUCUAGGCUUAGAGAUAGAGUAGUUAACCGAGUUUCUUGUGUCUCAAGAUGUAAAUCAAACUCUUGUAUAUCUAUUCUACCAACGGCCAUAGUACCUACUCCUUCC